rnacentral:rRNA from 1 species
CCUACGGGGGGCAGCAGUGAGGAAUAUUGGUCAAUGGGCGCGAGCCUGAACCAGCCAAGUCGCGUGAGGGAAGACGGUCCUAUGGAUUGUAAACCUCUUUUGUCGGGGAGCAAAAGACGCCACGCGUGGCGUUCCGAGAGUACCCGAAGAAAAAGCAUCGGCUAACUCCGUGCCAGCAGCCGCGGUAAUACGGAGGAUGCGAGCGUUAUCCGGAUUUAUUGGGUUUAAAGGGUGCGUAGGCGGGCUGUUAAGUCAGCGGUCAAAUGUCGGGGCUCAACCCCGGCCUGCCGUUGAAACUGGCGGCCUCGAGUGGGCGAGAAGUAUGCGGAAUGCGUGGUGUAGCGGUGAAAUGCAUAGAGAUCAUACAGAACACCGAUUGCGAAGGCAGCUUACCAAACUACGACUGACGUUGAGGCACGAAAGCGUGGGGAGCAAACAGGAUUAGAUACCCUUGUAGUC